rnacentral:rRNA from 1 species
GAUGAACGCUGGCGGCGUGCCUAAUACAUGCAAGUCGAGCGAACAGAUGAGGAGCUUGCUCCUCUGACGUUAGCGGCGGACGGGUGAGUAACACGUGGAUCACCUACCUAUAAGACUGGGAUAACUUCGGGAAACCGGAGCUAAUACCGGAUAAUAUAUUGAACCGCAUGGUUCAAUAGUGAAAGACGGUUUUGCUGUCACUUAUAGAUGUAUCCGCGCCGCAUUAGCUAGUUGGUAAGGUAACGGCUUACCAAGGCAACGAUGCGUAGCCGACCUGAGAGGGUGAUAGGCCACACUGGAACUGAGACACGGUCAAGACUCCUAAGGGAGGCAGCAGUAGGGAAUCUUCCGCAAUGGGCGAAAGCCUGACGGAGCAACGCCGCGUGAGUGAUGAAGGUCUUCGGAUCGUAAAACUCUGUUAUUAGGGAAGAACAAAUGUGUAAGUAACUAUGCACGUCUUGACGGUACCUAAUCAGAAAGCCACGGCUAACUACGUG